rnacentral:lncRNA from 1 species
AAUAAGGUGUAUAUAUAUGAGAUUAUUUGGUCAAUAGGUAAAUAAUAUCUAAAAAUUACGAAAUUUAGUUCAUACGAAGUUCAGUUCAAUGGCACUGAUCGUUGAUUUGGAUGCCCUGGCAUUAAACACGGCGUGAAAGCACCAAGAGUUUGGUACUUCUAAACUACGCAAUUUGACUUCACUGUCCAAACAUUUUGAGCAUGACAUAACGUCUUUGAGACGUUACUAAUUUGUGGCACAAACGAACUCUGGAGGGAGUUUACGUGAAACAAGAACCUGUUCUUUAGUUUGAUUUAAGUCGUUUUCAAGUUCAGGCGAUGUUGUAGUUCGGAUGGAUCUGAUGCAUUUUUCCACUAAAAUUUACUUUUCUUCCUCUACCUAUUCACGCCUAUUGUGAAUAACAGGUAGACAUUUUGAGAUUCAUUAUUAUAAAAUAUAAAUUGAUUUGCAAGCGUGCCUACCAUGACUAUUUGAACUUGUUAGAACAUCUUUUUGAGCAGAAUUGGUUGCCAACUUUAUGACUAAAGGCAUGGAAAUUACUUGUAAUUUCAGGAACUUUGGAGUGGCCACAAUGGUACCAACAUUUGCUCCAGCUGCUUUCUUGUUCUAGUGUUUGUGGAGAGCAAAUUAAGAAGGGGGGGGGGAGUGUGUGGGGACUGUAGAUGCUUCAUUUGUUUCAAAAGUCUCUUUUCAUAUUUGUAACUGACUUAUAUGAAGAUCCUGUUGGUUUUUAUUUGAUGUGAAGACACAAAGUCUCUCUCUCUCUCUCUCUCUCUCUCUCUCUCUCUCUCUCUAUAUAUAUAUAUAUAUAUAUAUAUACCUCUUGCACAGUUUGGAAAUAUAGAUUGGAUUUAGAUUUGUGCCAGUGCAGAAAACAGAGUCCUAGUAAACAUCAGUUUCCCGAAGGGGUUCGGAGAGAGCAGUUCAUGAAGUUUCACCCUGAUUUCAAUUUCAUCCUCAACUGAACUAAUUUUGACACGGGAGUUUGACCCUCAUUUACAUUACAUAUCUAAAAUUUAAUGUCGGCUCCAAAUCCAUUCUCAAAAAACUUAUUUUUUUAACAAAAAACACAUCAAGCGACGAGGUUAAUAUUUCUCUAAACAAAUCGGCACAGCUAUCUAAUUGUUUCAUAAUUGUAGCCGAGUUCAUUUCCAAUAAAUGAAGGAAGCAGAUAGCUUGUCAUCUUUCUCUUAACAAUAUAUAUAUAUAUAUAUAUAUAUAUAUAUAGAGUAGGGCUAGAAUACUUGUAAAAGUAUCAUGGGGGUGCUACUUGUGUGUUUUUAGCCCUUGGAUGAAGAGAUGUGAGGUUGAGAUGAUGGUGAUAGGUGGUGGUAGGUGGAAUAGUGUUUAAUCCGAGGGCUAUUAAUAAUCAAAAAGUAGAUCCAAUGGCUUAAAACCUAAUAGCACCAUAAUGGUGAUACUUGUAAAAGUAUC